rnacentral:lncRNA from 10 species
UUAUAAUAAAGCCCACUUUCUGCAUUACAGAGGCAGGAUGGGGAGGGCUGAGGGCCCAAGGUUCUGCCUGAUUUGCUGACCCCCUCACAGAGGGCUCCAGGCAAGGCCCCAGGAGGGGGUGUUCAUCUCUCUCUAACCAGGUCGGGCUUCCCUACUAUGGGUUCUCUGCUCCUGUGUAACAGGAGACUGGGACAGUGUGUCCAUCCAUGAUGCGCAGGGCUGCUCCUGCCAGGCAGGGUUAGGAUUCAAAUAAACUAAGGCACUAGUGACAAAUCCCAGAGAGACA